CCCCUUGUUCAAGAAGAUUGUCGUCGAUCACCUCUACGACUUCCUGAGGAGGAAUUUCAGGCAAGGCAUAGAGCUGCUGCCGGUUCCCCACCGGAGGCUCCUGAGGGUCGGCAUGACCUACGAGAUCUGAAUCACCUCCCCUGAGAACCUCUCUGCACCUGGAUGGACGGGCCACUGAGGGAGGCGGACUCUUCUUCUCCAUCGAUCCGGGAAAGGAAGGGUGAUGUUGACAGGAAUGGAGAUGAUGCCCGCCAUCGGCCAUGAAACCUUCCAGUCUGAAAGUGGUUCACAAUAACUAUGUUAGAAUAAAACAGUGGAUGAAACAUCAGUGUCAGUGCCUGGAUGAAGCAGGAAGCUCCCUCCCACCCAUUCACUUUUCUCCAGCGAGCAGCUCCCAUCGUCUCCUACCUUUCACCCUUGCUUCUCCGCCUCCAGAUCCAUUCCCGUCCCUUCCUACAUUGCCUCCUCUUCCUGCUGACCAGUGCAAACCCACCAAAAGCUCCCAUCCAGCUGAACAUUCGCAAGCCAUGAAGCUCUUUGAAAAGUUGCAUUCGCUGAACAAUGCUGAAAUUGAUUCAAAUUUUACUUGCCUUCCGUUUCUCCAACAACUCCGCAGUAGCGAUGUCUCCUGAAGGGUGCUCCUAUGUUCUUCGACCCUAAUAGACUGCAAUUCUUUAUAGGUUUUUCCACAUUUUUCAGACUAGGGUAGUGCAGGAGCUCGGAUGAUUUGAGAAAGAAUUAUCCAUUGUUAACUCUGCUAGGGAUCCCCCAGGAUAAAUAUUCAUUGGAUAUGAAUCUAAUUCGGCACCGAUUACAAAAUAAGGCCAGUGAAGUUUCGUCUGAUCUCCUAGGAACCAGCGAUACAUCUCAUAUUCGGGUUAAUCCAUCGAGAUGAAUCACAGAUAUCGGUAUCCAUUGUCGGUCGCUGAUACUUUGAAGAUCCAUUUGCACGAGAAACCCGAUCCAUGUGACCUUCAGCCCCGCUGUGAUAUGGAAAGUCAGGCCAAACAGCUUUUGCGAUUACCUCUGAUUCCACCGCACGGCGGAGCUUUCGUUUUCCUCUGUUCGAAGAUUUCUAGGGAGAAAUCGAGUAAUCACCAGAAUCAAGGAACCUGCGGCCUCGUCUCCCUGAGACGUUCUCCCCUGGAGACUCGAGUCUAGAGUCGCCAUUCUAUAAAAGGAGUCCGGCGCUUGCGAGGAGGCGUCCGGAUCGCGGCUCGGAAGUCCCAGAGGCUUCACCGCACGCGACGAAGCCGUCCGCCGCCGUGGACGAUCAAGCAUCCCUCCUCCUGGGUGACGGCCGCGAGGAGUCCAUCGUCUGCCGCAGUGGCCGGCUUCCUCGCGAGCGCCGGCGAGGAUUUCGCCGGAGCAACGGCGACGCCGCGCGUGCAAGUUGGAAACCGGAUCAUAAGUGUCGUCUUUAUUUUAUUUAAUCCUAAAUUUUUUAUACAGUCUUCGAACCAAUUAAAGUCUUCCCCCUUGUUCAAUCUGCGAACUUGUCAACAUCUUCCCCUACCUCCCCCCCCCCCUCCCCCCUUGUCUCGAACUCCGCCAUCACCUAACCUCC
rnacentral:lncRNA from 1 species